rnacentral:rRNA from 1 species
UGGCUCAGGACGAACGCUGGCGGCGUGCCUAAUACAUGCAAGUCGAACGGUCUUUCUAUGGAAGCUUGCUUCCACUGAGAAGAUAGUGGCGAACGGGUGAGUAACACGUGGGUAACCUGCCCAUAAGAGGGGGAUAACAUCCGGAAACGGGUGCUAAUACCGCAUAGUUUUCUUGAUCGCAUGAUCGGGAAAGGAAAGACGGCCUUUGUGCUGUCGCUUAUGGAUGGACCCGCGGCGUAUUAGUUAGUUGGUGAGGUAACGGCUCACCAAGACGAUGAUACGUAGCCGACCUGAGAGGGUGAUCGGCCACAUUGGGACUGAGACACGGCCCAAACUCCUACGGGAGGCAGCAGUAGGGAAUCUUCCGCAAUGGACGAAAGUCUGACGGAGCAACGCCGCGUGAGUGAAGAAAGGUUUUCGGAUCGUAAAACUCUGUUGUCAGAGAAGAACAAGUUGGAGAGUAACUGCUCCAGCCUUGACGGUAUCUGACCAGAAAGCCACGGCUAACUACGUGCCAGCCGCCGC